rnacentral:rRNA from 1 species
UACGUAGGGUGCGAGCGUUAAUCGGAAUUACUGGGCGUAAAGGGCUCGCAGGCGGCCACGCACGUCCGUUGUGAAAUCGCUCGGCUCAACUGGGCGGGGUCAGCGGAUACGGCGUGGCUGGAGCAAGCUAGGGGGCAAUGGAAUUCCCGGUGUAGUGGUGGAAUGCGUAGAUAUCGGGAGGAACACCAGUGGCGAAGGCGGUUGCCUGGAGCUUUGCUGACGCUGAGGCGCGAAAGCGUGGGGAGCGAUCCGG